GACGAACGCUGGCGGCGUGCUUAACACAUGCAAGUCGAACGGAAAGGCCCUGCUUGCAGGGUACUCGAGUGGCGAACGGGUGAGUAACACGUGGGUGAUCUGCCCUGCACUUCGGGAUAAGCUUGGGAAACUGGGUCUAAUACCGGAUAGGAGCCAUCUUUAGUGUGGUGGUUGGAAAGUUUUUUCGGUGUAGGAUGAGCUCGCGGCCUAUCAGCUUGCUGGUGGGGUAAUGGCCUACCAAGGCGGCGACGGGUAGCCGGCCUGAGAGGGUGUACGGCCACAUUGGGACUGAGAUACGGCCCAGACUCCUACGGGAGGCAGCAGUGGGGAAUAUUGCACAAUGGGCGCAAGCCUGAUGCAGCGACGCCGCGUGGGGGAUGAAGGCCUUCGGGUUGUAAACUCCUUUCGCUAGGGACGAAGCUUUGUUGUGACGGUACCUAGAGAAGAAGCACCGGCUAACUACGUG
rnacentral:rRNA from 1 species